rnacentral:rRNA from 1 species
GAUGAACGCUGGCGGUAUGCUUAACACAUGCAAGUCGAACGGACUCUUCGGAGUUAGUGGCGGACGGGUGAGUAACGCGUGAGAAUCUGCCUUUAGGUCGGGGACAACAGUUGGAAACGACUGCUAAUACCGGAUGUGCAGCAAUGUGAAAGAUUUAUUGCCUAAAGAUGAGCUCGCGUCUGAUUAGCUAGUAGGUGUGGUAAUGGCGCACCUAGGCGACGAUCAGUAACUGGUCUGAGAGGAUGACCAGUCACACUGGGACUGAGACACGGCCCAGGCUCCUACGGGAGGCAGCAGUGGGGAAUUUUCCGCAAUGGGCGAAAGCCUGACGGAGCAAUACCGCGUGAGGGACGACGGCUUUUGGGUUGUAAACCUCUUUUCCCUGGGAAGAGGAUCUGACGGUGCCAGGGGAAUCAGCAUCGGCUAACUUCGUGCCAGCCGCCGCAGUAAAAC